CCUACGGGCGGCAGCAGUGAGGAAUAUUGGUCAAUGGGCGUAAGCCUGAACCAGCCAAGUCGCGUGAGGGAUGAAGGUUCUAUGGAUCGUAAACCUCUUUUAUAAGGGAACAAAGUGCGGGACGUGUCCCCUUUUGUAUGUACCUUAUGAAUAAGCAUCGGCUAACUCCGUGCCAGCAGCCGCGGUAAUACGGAGGAUCCGAGCGUUAUCCGGAUUUAUUGGGUUUAAAGGGUGCGUAGGCGGGCUUUUAAGUCAGCGGUGAAAGCCCGUGGCUCAACCAUAGAAUUGCCGUUGAAACUGGCAGGCUUGAGUAUGAGUGAAGCAGGCGGAAUGCGUGGUGUAGCGGUGAAAUGCAUAGAUAUCGCGCAGAACCCCGAUUGCGAAGGCAGCAUGCCGGGCCAAGACUGACGCUGAUGCACGAAAGCGUGGGGAUCGAACAGGAUUAGAUACCCGAGUAGUC
rnacentral:rRNA from 1 species